AUGGAAGAAGUGAUUGACCAGAUAUGUGAGUGAGGAAGACUUCCAAUGAUUUCAGCUCCAGCCACUGCACAAAACAGCCUGAGAAAAAAUUGCCCACCUGAGGUCAUUCUCAAUAUUCAUGGAACACUAAGGAGCUGCCAAGCUUCAUUGGAAAUGCUGGGGAUACAAUGGUGAAUUAGAAAGCAUUCACUGCCUUCAAAGAACAUACUCUACUGUCUAGAGUCUGGAGGAGGAUACAGGACAGGAGACUGGUGGGGCCACCAUGUGGCAGAUAGAAAUACUCUCCACAUUUCUUGAGAGAAAUUCUGAAGGUGAAGGGACAGAUUGUUAGAUCUAACCAAAAGAUUAUGAGGAGAUUAAUCAUCUACCAAGGACUGUGAGUUUCAUGGAGUAUGUCUCACAGG